rnacentral:tRNA from 1 species
UGGCUCAAUUGGUAGAGCAUGGCACUUGCAAUGCCAGGGUUGUGGAUUUGAUUCCCAU